UCAUAUGCUUGUCUCAAAGAUUAAGCCAUGCAUGUCUAAGUACAUGCCGAAAUAAGGUGAAACCGCGAAUGGCUCAUUAAAUCAGUUAUGGUUCCUUAGAUCGUACCAUCCUACUUGGAUAACUGUGGUAAUUCUAGAGCUAAUACAUGCUGACAAGCUCGGACCUUCGGGGACGAGCGCUUUUAUUAGAACAAGACCAAUACGGGCUGGCAACAGUCCGUUCCAUUUGGUGACUCUGGAUAACUUGGAGCCGAUCGCAAGGUCUCGCACCGGCGACGCAUCUUUCAAAUGUCUGCCUUAUCAACUUUCGAUGGUAGGUUAUGCGCCUACCAUGGUCGUAACGGGUAACGGGGAAUCAGGGUUCGAUUCCGGAGAGGGAGCCUGAGAAACGGCUACCACAUCCAAGGAAGGCAGCAGGCACGCAAAUUACCCACUCCCGGCACGGGGAGGUAGUGACGAAAAAUAACAAUACGGGACUCUUCCGAGGCCCCGUAAUUGGAAUGAGUACACUUUAAAUCCUAUAACGAGGAUCUAUUGGAGGGCAAGUCUGGUG
rnacentral:rRNA from 1 species